UACGUAGGGGGCAAGCGUUAUCCGGAUUUACUGGGUGUAAAGGGGGCGCAGACGGCGAUGCAAGCCAGGAGUGAAAGCCCGGGGCCCAACCCUGGGACUGCUCUUGGAACUGCGUGGCUGGAGUGCAGGAGGGGCAGGCGGAAUUCCUGGUGUAGCGGUGAAAUGCGUAGAUAUCAGGAGGAACACCGGUGGCGAAGGCGGCCUGCUGGACUGCAACUGACGUUGAGGCCCGAAAGCGUGGGGAGCAAACAGG
rnacentral:rRNA from 1 species